CAGCAGCCGCGGUAAUACGUAGGGUGCAAGCGUUAAUCGGAAUUACUGGGCGUAAAGCGUGCGCAGGCGGUGUUGUAAGACUGAUGUGAAAUCCCCGGGCUCAACCUGGGAACUGCAUUGGUGACUGCAACGCUGGAGUGCGGCAGAGGGGGAUGGAAUUCCGCGUGUAGCAGUGAAAUGCGUAGAUAUGCGGAGGAACACCGAUGGCGAAGGCAACCCCCUGGGCCUGCACUGACGCUCAUGCACGAAAGCGUGGGGAGCAAACAGGAUUAGAUACCCCCGUAGUCCCUGUCUCUUAUAC
rnacentral:rRNA from 1 species